rnacentral:rRNA from 1 species
GGCUACCAUGCAGUCGAGGGGCAGCAUGGUCUUAGCUUGCUAAGGCCGAUGGCGACCGGCGCACGGGUGAGUAACGCGUAUCCAACCUGCCUUACACUCUUGGACAGCCUUCUGAAAGGGAGAUUAAUACAAGAUGUUAUCAUGAGUAAGCAUUUUCACAUGAUUAAAGGUUUACCGGUGUAAGAUGGGGAUGCGUUCCAUUAGAUAGUAGGCGGGGUAACGGCCCACCUAGUCUUCGAUGGAUAGGGGUUCUGAGAGGAAGGUCCCCCACAUUGGAACUGAGACACGGUCCAAACUCCUACGGGAGGCAGCAGUGAGGAAUAUUGGUCAAUGGACGAGAGCCUGAACCAGCCAAGUAGCGUGAAGGAUGAAGGUUCUAUGGAUUGUAAACUUCUUUUAUACGGGAAUAAACGAAUCCACGCGUGGAUUUUUGCAUGUACCGUAUGAAUAAGGAUCGGCUAACUCCGUGCCAGCAGCCGCGGUAAUACGGAGGAUCCGAGCGUUAUCCGGAUUUAUUGGGUUUAAAGGGAGCGUAGAUGGGUUGUUAAGUCAGUUGUGAAAGUUUGCGGCUCAACCGUAAAAUUGCAAUUGAUACUGGCAGUCUUGAGUACAGUUGAGGUAGGCGGAAUUCGUGGUGUAGCGGUGAAAUGCUUAGAUAUCACGAAGAACUCCGAUUGCGAAGGCAGCUUACUAACCUGUAACUGACAUUGAUGCUCGAAAGUGUGGGUAUCAAACAGGAUUAGAUACCCUGGUAGUCCACACGGUAAACGAUGAAUACUCGCUGUAGGCGAUAUACGGUCUGCGG